rnacentral:tRNA from 1 species
GCCCAGAUGGUGAAAUUGGUAGACACGCCAGCUUCAGGUGUUGGUGACGCAAGUCGUGGAGGUUCAAGUCCUCUUCUGGGCA